UACGGAGGGGGCAAGCGUUGUUCGGAUUUACUGGGCGUAAAGGGCGCGUAGGCGGUCAGGCAAGUCACUUGUGAAAUCUCUGAGCUUAACUCAGAGCGGCCAAGUGAUACUGCCAAACUAGAGUGCAGAAGGGGCAACUGGAAUUCUUGGUGUAGCGGUGAAAUGCGUAGAUAUCAAGAGGAACACCUGAGGCGAAGGCGGGUUGCUGGGCUGACACUGACGCUGAGGCGCGAAAGCUAGGGGAGCAAACAGG
rnacentral:rRNA from 1 species